GGGGAAUUUUCGGGUCUAUCUGGAUGUGAUUUGGAGAGGAUUCCUCAGGGAUUUUGGGGAGGAUUUGGGGAGGAUCUGGAUGGAAUUUCUCGGAGAUUCCUCUGGGAUUUGGGGGAUUUCGGGGAUUCUGGGGAGGAUUUCACACACCCGGGCUGUGACCCCCCAUCUCCCCGCGCCCCCAGACUCGCUGCUGCACCUGGCCGAGAGCAAACACCUGGCCGUGUACCACAAGGGCCGCUACUACAAGGUGUGGCUUUACUACGGGGGGCAGCUGCUGGCCCCCGCCGAGCUGGAGCUGCAAUUCCAGAGGAUCCUGGACGAUCCCUCGCCCCCGCAGCCCGGGGAGGAGCGGCUGGCGGCGCUGACGGCCGGGGAGAGGUGGGGAAAAUCACCGGGAAAAUAACCGGGAAAAUCGCCGGGAAAAUAACCGGGAUAACCGGGAAAAUAACUGGGAAAAUAACCGGGAAAAUAACCGGGAUAACCGGGAAAAUAACUGGGAUAAUAACCGGGAAAAUAGCCGGGAUAACCGGGAAAAUAACUGGGAUAAUCACCGGGAAAAUAACCGGGAAAAUAGCCGGGAUAACCGGGAAAAUAGCCGGGAUAACCGGGAAAAUAGCCGGGAUAAUCACCGGGAAAAUAACCGGGAAAAUAGCCGGGAUAACCGGGAAAAUAACUGGGAUAAUCACCGGGAAAAUAGCCGGGAUAACCGGGAAAAUAACCGGGAUAAUCACCGGGAAAAUCACCGGGAAAAUAGCCGGGAUAACCGGGAAAAUAUCUGGGAUAAUAACCGGGAAAAUCACCGGGAUAACCGGGAAAAUAACCGGGAUAAUCACCGGGAAAUUAACCGGGAAAAUAGCCGGGAAAAUAACCGGGAAAAUAGCCGGGAUAAUCACCGGGAAAAUAGCCGGGAUAACCGGGAAAAUCCCCGGGAAAAUAACGGGGAUAACGGAGAAAAUAACCGGGAAAAUAACCGAGAUAACCACCAGGAUAAUCACCGGCAUAACAGGAUAAUUAACCGGGAUAAUAACCGGGAUAACCGGGAUAAUAACCGGGAUAACCGGGAUAAUAACCAGGAUGAUAACCGGGAUAACUGGGAUAAUAACCGGGAUAAUAACCGGGAUAAUAACCAGGAUGAUAACCGGGAUAAUAACCGGGAUAACCGGGAUAAUAACCGGGAUAAUAACCGGGAUAAUAACCGGGAUAAUAACCGGGAUAACCGGGAUAAUAACCGGGAUAAUAACCGGGAUAACCGGGAUAAUAACCGGGAUAGUAACCGGGAUAAUAACCAGGAUGAUAACCGGGAUAAUAACCGGGAUAAGAACCGGGAUAAUCACCGGGAUAACGGGAAUGCUGGGAAUGCUGGGAAUGCUGGGAAUGCUGGGAAUAACUGGAAUGGGG
rnacentral:lncRNA from 1 species